GUGAGCGGCCGAGUGGGUCACGGGGUUUCUCCUGAGGAAGCUCCUCCCUUCAACCGGAGAGUUUAGCGCGGCGACGCGCAACGGAAGACCGUUGGCACUGGAACAGAAACGAUACCCGUCAUAAGAUUUGGCUAUGAUUGAUGUAAUAGCAUCAUGAGGACCUUAUGGGAAGGGGAUGAAACGGCUAACCCAAACGAAGCAAGGUCAAAAGGAGCCGAUGAUGCAUCUCCGGUCUAGGCUCAGGUAGACCUCUAAGUCCAAUCCCACUAAAACAAAAGGAGGGCUACGAGCCGCACAC
rnacentral:RNase_P_RNA from 1 species